rnacentral:rRNA from 1 species
GAUGAACGCUGGCGGCGUGCUUAACACAUGCAAGUCGAACGAAGCAUUUGCGACAGAUUUUUUCGGAAUGAAGUUGCUUAUGACUGAGUGGCGGACGGGUGCGUAACGCGUGGGUAACCUGCCUUGUACUGGGGGAUAGCAGCUGGAAACGGCUGGUAAUACCGCAUAAGCGCGCAAUGUUGCAUGACAUGGUGUGAAAAACUCCGGCGGUAUAUGAUGGACGCGCGUCUGAUUAGCUAGAUGGUGAGUUAACAGCUCACCAAGGCCACGAUCAGUAGCCGAGAGGGUGAGCUGACACGCCAGGUCGGGACUGCGACACGGCCCAGACUCGUACGGGGGGGAGCGGUGGGGAAUAUUGCACGAUGGAGGAAACUCUGACGCAGCGGCGCCGCGUGAGUGAAGAAGUAAUUCGUUAUGUAAAGCUCUAUCAGAAGGGAAGAGAGUGACGGUACCGGACAAAGAAGCUCCGGCUAAAUACGUG